rnacentral:rRNA from 1 species
CCUACGGGUGGCAGCAGUGGGGAAUAUUGCACAAUGGGGGAAACCCUGAUGCAGCGACGCCGCGUGAGGGAAGAAACGCCUCGGCGCGGUAAGCUCUGUCAGCAGGAACGAUAUUGACGGUACCUGAAGAGGAAUCCCCGGCUAACUACGUGCCAGCAGCCGCGGGAAUACGGAGGGGGCACGCGGUAUCCGGAUUUACUGGGGGUAAAGGGAGCGUAGACGGCGGGGCAAGUCUGGAGGGAAAGGCCGGGGCCCAACCCCGGGACCGCUCUGGAAACUGCCCGGCUGGAGUGCGGGAGAGGUAAGCGGAAUUCGUAGUGUAGCGGUGAAAUGCGUAGAUAUUAGGAGGAACACCAGCGGCGAAGGCGGCUUACUGGACCGUGACUGACGUUGAGGCUCGAAAGCGUGGGGAGCAAACAGGAUUAGAUACCCCAGUAGUC